rnacentral:lncRNA from 1 species
GUGACAGCUUGUCACUGACAGGGCCACAAUGUGCCCUUGACUAUUGUAGAGUUCUGUAAAAGCAUCAAGGUGUCUCUCGCUCGCGUCUUCUUUCUUUCUUUUUCUCUCUUUCUCUAUUUUCAAAGCUGUACAUCAAUCAGCUGUGCGAACACACACACUUUCCUCUCCUCUCUGUCUAUUCAACGGCCAAUGAUCAUUUAGAGUUGACAUGUAUUGUGAAGAACUGAGCUGCUCUUUCUUAUUCUCUCCUCCUUUCUCUUUCAACUGUCAGUCAUUCAUGUCCAGGCCAAUAUACACACACCAAAAAGAAGAAAGCGAAGAAACGGAAGGAUAAAUUGAUGGAUGGAAGGAUAAGCGAAAGACACUAUCCUUCCCUUUAAAGCAUGUGGUCUCCUCUCCAGCUCCCAUCAACCCCCAGGAGAAGAUGAAGGGAGCUCUGAGUCUCUCAGGCGGAAGGUAAGGAAGAGAGAGAUUAAGGAGGAGAGACAUGGAAAGGAGAGGAUUAUGUCAUAUCAGAAGUGUUCCCUUGAUGUACCUUCAUACAGGAACAGUUGGUGUUCACUUUUAUUAUGUCCCCCUCUCCAAAAUGGAGAUCAAAAUAUGAAUCCGGAAUCAUUACAGAUAUGUGUGAGAC